AGCCUGUAAAAUAGUGAGACUAAUAGCAAAAAUAAUUCAGAAAAUAGUCUCUUCGCAGUUUGAGUUUGUCUGUGUAUUUCAAAGUGUUAAUAAGACUGAGGGUCAAUGUGACUUUUCCAAGGUUUAUUGCUUUCAGAAGUCAAUGAGUUUCUUUUCUAAAUCUAAUUUUCUGGGUGAUAAAUUGAUGGGUAUUCCAUGUACUUUUUCAGCAUCUUGUUGGCUGUCUUUGCACAGAUUCAAUAUUUAAUGAGAGAUCAAUACUUCCAAAGUACAUUUUCUUUUACUUCCUUCACUUAGGAGUCUGGGUAGCUACCAAAUCACGAAUAUCACCAAAACCACAAUCUCCAUCAUCACUCAACCAACAGGAAUCUCCUGAGAGCCUGCUUCAUGCUCAGCACUGUGAAACUUGCAUUGAAAAACGAAGGCACAAAAGAGAAUACAAAAUGGUUUUAUAUUAUUGGACAUGUACUAUUAUUGUCUCACUUUGGAUUGCUGGUAAAUGAGACAGAGAAAGAUGAGUCAACCUGAAAAGAUCACGAAGUAGUAAAAGAUGGAACUGAUGUUGAGCCCACCCCAUCUCUCCACAUGAUCAUCACAAACACAAUAACCCGUAACCAAAAGAUUGAGACAGAGGACUGCAAGUCAGUAAUUCCAAGUGUGCUGGCAGAGCCUGGAAGCCAUUAACAAGCAAGUGUGAGAAGUAAUUGAAGGGAAGAAUAAAAUUACACUCUUCUAGCUCCAGGAUCAUGGUGGGUAAUAAGAGAAUUAGACAUUUUUACUUCUCUAGGAUCUACCUUUCACACCAAAAUGUCUCUCUGAGUUUAUAAAAAUAUAAAUAAAUGAACCAUUCAUAUACCAUUCUGAAAUAAAACAAGCAUGUUAACAAACACUGUUAAAUGUAGAAAGCAUUUUAAUACCAUUUUUAGGGAAAAGAUGGAGAAUAUUUUGUGAAUUUGGGCUAUAGAAUUAAUACUGCUU